UACGGAGGGUGCAAGCGUUAUCCGGAUUCACUGGGUUUAAAGGGUGCGUAGGUUGAUAGGUAAGUCAGUGGUGAAAUACUCCGACUCAAUCGGAGAACUGCCGUUGAUACUAUCUAUCUUGAAUACGGUGGAGGCGGGCGGAAUGCGUCAUGUAGUGGUGUAAUACUUAGAUAUGACGCAGAACACCCAUUGCGAAGGCAGCUCGCUACACCGGCAUUGACACUGAGGCACGAAAGUGUGGGGAUCAAACAGG
rnacentral:rRNA from 1 species